UCAGAUGGUCGGGUAAUUGCUUGUUUUGCAAUAUAAACAAGAGGAAAGUCCGAGCUUCACAGAAACAAAAGACUGGAUAAUCACCAGCUAGGGCGACCUAAGGGAAAGUGCCACAGAAAAUAUACCGCCCCAAAAGGGUAAGGGUGAAAUGGUAAGGUAAGAGCUUACCGCUUUUCUGGCAACAGAAAAGGCAAGGUAAACCCUCUUUGAAGCAAGACCAAGUAAAAUAGAGCCUAUUAACCUCAAAAAUUAAUAAGCAACCCAUGUUUCUGAGGGCUAUUAUGGUAGGUCGCACGAGGUUAUUGGCAACAAUAAUCCCAGACAAAUAAU
rnacentral:RNase_P_RNA from 1 species